rnacentral:lncRNA from 1 species
CUCUGGAGUGGAAACGCGACAGAAGCGGCAUGAAGUGGGGCGCGGCUUCCGCCUUUAUCCUCUCAGAAGCCUGAGGCCCCUGUGCCAGGAAGAAGCCCCGGACGCAGGCCCGUGUGGAGAGGGCGGCCCGGCCCUCCCAGCCGUCCCCGCCGAGCCCGGCGCCCGGCUGAACGCAGCCACUCAGGGGGCCCAGCCUGCUCCUGGGCAUGUGAACUCAGCGCCCCUCCCAAGUGAGAUGCUGGAGACACGGGUGCGGUGGAGCCGAGCAGACCUGUCCAGGUCACACCCAGAGAAAGGAAGAAGAUGACAGCAAGACGUGGCAGGGGAUCAAGUCCCCCAGGAGCGACCUGGAGGAGGAUGCGGCGAGCCCGUGCUGUCAGAGGCUGCGGUGGGUCCAGGGCA